GCGUCGACCGGCGCACGGGUGAGUAACGCGUAUCCAACCUGCCCAUAACUAAGGGAUAAUCCGUAGAAAUGCGGUCUAAUACCUUAUGUGAUCCGAGGAAGACAUCUGAUUUGGAUUAAAGAUUUAUCGGUUAUGGAUGGGGAUGCGUCUGAUUAGAUUGUUGGCGGGGCAACGGCCCACCAAGUCUGCGAUCAGUAGGGGUUCUGAGAGGAAGGUCCCCCACAUUGGAACUGAGACACGGUCCAAACUCCUACGGGAGGCAGCAGUGAGGAAUAUUGGUCAAUGGGCGGAAGCCUGAACCAGCCAAGUAGCGUGCAGGAUGACGGCCCUAUGGGUUGUAAACUGCUUUUAUACGGGGAUAAAGUGGGCUACGUGUAGCUUAUUGCAGGUACCGUAUGAAUAAGGACCGGCUAAUUCCGUGCCAGCAGCCGCGGUAAUACGGAAGGUCCGGGCGUUAUCCGGAUUUAUUGGGUUUAAAGGGAGCGUAGGCCGUGGAUUAAGUGUGUUGUGAAAUGUAGGCGCUCAACGUCUGACUUGCAGCGCAUACUGGUUCACUUGAGUGCGCACAACGCGGGCGGAAUUUGUCGUGUAGCGGUGAAAUGCUUAGAUAUGACGAAGAACCCCGAUUGCGAAGGCAGCUCGCGGGAGCGCAACUGACGCUGAAGCUCGAAAGUGCGGGUAUCGAACAGGAUUAGAUACCCUGGUAGUCCGCACGGUAAACGAUGGAUGCCCGCUUUUCGGUCAUAAGACCGUGAGGCCAAGUGAAAACAUUAAGCAUCCCACCUGGGGAGUACGCCGGC
rnacentral:rRNA from 1 species